UACGAAGGGGGCUAGCGUUGCUCGGAAUUACUGGGCGUAAAGGGAGCGUAGGCGGACAGUUAAGUCAGAGGUGAAAGCCCAGGGCUCAACCCUGGAAUUGCCUUUGAUACUGAUUGUCUUGAGUAUGGGAGAGGUAUGCGGAACUCCGAGUGUAGAGGUGAAAUUCGUAGAUAUUCGGAAGAACACCAGUGGCGAAGGCGGCAUACUGGCCCAUUACUGACGCUGAGGCUCGAAAGCGUGGGGAGCAAAC
rnacentral:rRNA from 1 species